AGUCGUAACAAGGUAUCCGUAGGUGAACCUGCGGAUGGAUCAUUACCGAACCUUUUACAAGAGAUGGUCUCUUGGAUUCCCUCUCACGAGAGAAACCGGAGCCAUUUCACCCCUUUGCGAACCUCGAGAAGAACUUUAUUUUUUAAACUCUUAUUCAUGGAAUAGUUCUAACAAUGAAAUCGAAGCAUUUGUCUUACAAUUGCUUUGAUGUCAAUCGUUACAAACUACAACUUUUAACAACGGAUAUCUUGGCUCUC
rnacentral:misc_RNA from 1 species